rnacentral:lncRNA from 1 species
UGAUAUUGAUUAGACGUACUAAAAAAUUUUGUUUCACAUAAUGAAAAUUGAUGCAUAUUCCUACUCCAAAAUGAGUACAAUUUAUCUGCCAUGUCUACAAAAUGGAUACAGUUUAUCUGCCAUGUCUACCAAAUGGAUACUAUUUAUGUGCCACAUAAGGCAAUUAGCCAUUGCCACUAACUGUACAAUAUUACAUAUCACCAUGUACAACAUGGCCG